rnacentral:tRNA from 1 species
GAGAUAUUAGUAAAAUACAAUUACACCGCCUUGUCAAGGCGAAGUUGUGAGUUAAACUCUCACAUAUCUUA